rnacentral:rRNA from 1 species
UGCAAGUCGAGCGGUAGCACAGGGGAGCUUGCUCCCUGGGUGACGAGCGGCGGACGGGUGAGUAAUGUCUGGGAAACUGCCUGAUGGAGGGGGAUAACUACUGGAAACGGUAGCUAAUACCGCAUAACGUCGCAAGACCAAAGAGGGGGACCUUCGGGCCUCUUGCCAUCAGAUGUGCCCAGAUGGGAUUAGCUAGUAGGUGGGGUAAUGGCUCACCUAGGCGACGAUCCCUAGCUGGUCUGAGAGGAUGACCAGCCACACUGGAACUGAGACACGGUCCAGACUCCUACGGGAGGCAGCAGUGGGGAAUAUUGCACAAUGGGCGCAAGCCUGAUGCAGCCAUGCCGCGUGUGUGAAGAAGGCCUUCGGGUUGUAAAGCACUUUCAGCGAGGAGGAAGGUGGUGAACUUAAUACGUUCAUCAAUUGACGUUACUCGCAGAAGAAGCACCGGCUAACUCCGUGCCAGCAGCCGCGGUAAUACGGAGGGUGCAAGCGUUAAUCGGAAUUACUGGGCGUAAAGCGCACGCAGGCGGUUUGUU